rnacentral:tRNA from 3 species
GCGCCUGUAGCUUAAUGGAUAGAGCAUCACGCUUCGAACGUGCAGGUUGGGUGUUCGACUCACCCCAGGCGCG